rnacentral:rRNA from 1 species
UACGGGGGGAGCAAGCGUUGUUCGGAUUUACUGGGCGUAAAGGGCGCGUAGGCGGUAGCACAAGUCAGUUGUGAAAUCUCCGGGCUUAACUCGGAAAGGUCAACUGAUACUGUGCGACUAGAGUGCAGAAGGGCAACUGGAAUUCUCGGUGUAGCGGUGAAAUGCGUAGAUAUCGAGAGGAACACCUGCGGCGAAGGCGGGUUGCUGGGCUGACACUGACGCUGAUGCGCGAAAGCCAGGGGAGCGAACGGG